rnacentral:rRNA from 1 species
CAUGAAGCCGGAAUUGCUAGUAAUGGCAGGUCAGCAUACUGCCGUGAAUACGUUCCCGGGCCUUGUACACACCGCCCGUCACACCAUGAGAGUUGGGAAUACCCGAAGCCUGUGAGCUAACAUUAUGAGGCAGCAGUCGAAGGUAGAAUCAAUGAUUGGGGUGAAGUCGUAACAAGGUAGC